GACGAACGCUGGCGGCGUGCUUAACACAUGCAAGUCGAACGGAAAGGCCCCUUCGGGGGUCCUCGAGUGGCGAACAGGUGAGUAACACGUGAGUAACCUGCCCUUGACUUCGGGAUAACUUCAGGAAACUGGGGCUAAUACCGGAUAGGAAUCCUUGCUGCAUGGUGGGGGUUGGAAAGCUUCGGCGGUUUUGGAUGGACUCGCGGCUUAUCAGCUUGUUGGUGGGGUAGUGGCUUACCAAGGCUUUGACGGGUAGCCGGCCUGAGAGGGCGACCGGCCACAUUGGGACUGAGAUACGGCCCAGACUCCUACGGGAGGCAGCAGUGGGGAAUAUUGCACAAUGGGCGGAAGCCGGAUGCAGCAACGCCGCGGGCGGGAGGACGGCCUUCGGGUUGUAAACCGCUUUCAGCAGGGGCGAAGCUUGUGGUGACGGUACCUGCAGAAGAAGCACCGGCUAACUACGUG
rnacentral:rRNA from 1 species